CAAGAUGAUGAACCCCAGAUAGGGACAGCUUAUACUGCGGUAUAUGAUGUGAACCUUGGGCGAAAAUUUUAGUAGAUGCUUCGACUAUCUGAUA
rnacentral:snoRNA from 1 species